AGAGUUUGAUCCUGGCUCAGAUUGAACGCUGGCGGCAUGCUUUACACAUGCAAGUCGAACGGCAGCGCGGGCUUCGGCCUGGCGGCGAGUGGCGAACGGGUGAGUAAUGCAUCGGAACGUACCCAGUCGUGGGGGAUAACACAUCGAAAGAUGUGCUAAUACCGCAUACGUCCUGAGGGAGAAAGCGGGGGACCUUCGGGCCUCGCGCGAUUGGAGCGGCCGAUGUCAGAUUAGCUAGUAGGUGGGGUAAAGGCCCACCUAGGCGACGAUCUGUAGCGGGUCUGAGAGGAUGAUCCGCCACACUGGGACUGAGACACGGCCCAGACUCCUACGGGAGGCAGCAGUGGGGAAUUUUGGACAAUGGGGGCAACCCUGAUCCAGCCAUGCCGCGUGAGUGAAGAAGGCCUUCGGGUUGUAAAGCUCUUUCGGCCGGGAAGAAAUCGCAUCUUUUAAUAGAGGGUGUGGAUGACGGUACCGGACUAAGAAGCACCGGCUAACUACGUGCCAGCAGCCGCGGUAA
rnacentral:rRNA from 1 species